rnacentral:rRNA from 1 species
UGGGGGAUAUUGCACAAUGGGCGAAAGCCUGAUGCAGCGACGCCGCGUGGGGGAUGAAGGCUUUCGGGUUGUAAACCUCUUUCGCUAUCGAACAAGGCCCGCUUAGGGUGGGUUGAGGGUAGGUGGAGAAGAAGCGCCGGCUAACUACGUGCCAGCAGCCGCGGUAAUACGUAGGGCGCGAGCGUUGUCCGGAAUUAUUGGGCGUAAAGGGCUUGUAGGCGGCUUGUUGCGCCUGCUGUGAAAACGCGGGGCUUAACUUCGGGCGUGCAGUGGGUACGGGCGGGCUUGAGUGUGGUAGGGGUGACUGGAAUUCCAGGUGUAGCGGUGGAAUGCGCAGAUAUCUGGAGGAACACCGAUGGCGAAGGCAGGUCACUGGGCCAUUACUGACGCUGAGGAGCGAAAGCAUGGGUAGCGAACAGG